AGCGAACGCUGGCGGCAUGCCUAACACAUGCAAGUCGAACGAUGCUUUCGGGCAUAGUGGCGCACGGGUGCGUAACGCGUGGGAAUCUGCCCUUGGGUUCGGAAUAACAGUGAGAAAUUGCUGCUAAUACCGGAUGAUGUCUUCGGACCAAAGAUUUAUCGCCCAGGGAUGAGCCCGCGUAGGAUUAGCUAGUUGGUGGGGUAAUGGCCUACCAAGGCGACAAUCCUUAGCUGGUCUGAGAGGAUGAUCAGCCACACUGGGACUGAGGCACGGCCCAGACUCCUACGGGAGGCAGCAGUGGGGAAUAUUGGACAAUGGGCGCAAGCCUGAUCCAGCAAUGCCGCGUGAGUGAUGAAGGCCUUAGGGUUGUAAAGCUCUUUUACCCGGGAUGAUAAUGACAGUACCGGGAGAAUAAGCACCGGCUAACUCCGUG
rnacentral:rRNA from 1 species